rnacentral:rRNA from 1 species
AUUGAACGCUGGCGGCAUGCCUUACACAUGCAAGUCGAACGGCAGCACGGGUGCUUGCACCUGGUGGCGAGUGGCGAACGGGUGAGUAAUACAUCGGAACAUGUCCUGUAGUGGGGGAUAGCCCGGCGAAAGCCGGAUUAAUACCGCAUACGAUCUACGGAUGAAAGCGGGGGACCUUCGGGCCUCGCGCUAUAGGGUUGGCCGAUGGCUGAUUAGGUAGUUGGUGGGGUAAAGGCCUACCAAGGCGACGAUCAGUAGCUGGUCUGAGAGGACGACCAGCCACACUGGGACUGAGACACGGCCCAGACUCCUACGGGAGGCAGCAGUGGGGAAUUUUGGACAAUGGGGGAAAGCCUGAUCCAGCAAUGCCGCGUGUGUGAAGAAGGCCUUCGGGUUGUAAAGCACUUUUGUCCGGAAAGAAAUCCUUGGCCCUAAUACGGUCGGGGGAUGACGGUACCGGAAGAAUAAGCACCGGCUAACUACGUG